CGACGCCUUGCUUAACCACACCCCCACGGGAAACAGCAGUGACAAAAAUUAAGCCAUAAACGAAAGUUUGACUAAGUUAUAUUAAUUAGGGUUGGUAAAUCUCGUGCCAGCCACCGCGGUCAUACGAUUAACCCAAGCUAACAGGAGUACGGCGUAAAACGUGUUAAAGCACCAUACCAAAUAGGGUUAAAUUCUAACUAAGCUGUAAAAAGCCAUGAUUAAAAUAAAAAUAAAUGACGAAAGUGACCCUACAAUAGCCGACGCACUAUAGCUAAGACCCAAACUGGGAUUAGAUACCCCACUAUGCUUAGCCCUAAACACAGAUAAUUACAUAAACAAAAUUAUUCGCCAGAGUACUACUAGCAACAGCUUAAAACUCAAAGGACUUGGCGGUGCUUUAUAUCCUUCUAGAGGAGCCUGUUCUAUAAUCGAUAAACCCCGAUAAACCUCACCAAUUCUUGCUAAUACAGUCUAUAUACCGCCAUCUUCAGCAAACCCU
rnacentral:rRNA from 1 species